rnacentral:sRNA from 1 species
GCUUUUCCAUGGGACACUGGAAUUCCUUUCUGAACAUACAGGUGUUCCCCGCCCCCUGCCACCGACGCCGCCAUUAGGAGUUACCGUGUUCGUUGCAAUUCGAAUACCUCAGGGACGGGUAGAAGAAAGAAAAACUGUAAAUGCUCUUCACUUGGACCACCCCAUCCCGAGAGCAUUUUGAUUCCUUUCAUUGCAUCCUCUUUCUUAAGUAUUAAAAAAAAAAAAGUCAGGUUUGUGAUCGUAAUGCAAUACAUGUUUUCCCUCAUUUUCGUAUGCUAAAACAAACAUCCCAGUAAAACUAGUCUCCCCGUGUAAGCGCUGUUUAAGUGCUCGGACAACGUUUCAGUCUGUAGGGGUUGGACAUUUAGAGGAUCACCAUGCAUGUCAUUUCUGAGUAUGCAGAGGUGAGGAAUAACACCCAAAAGACUGGGUCUGUGCUUCAGGCGCUGUCCUGAGCAAACGGACCUUAUUUGACAGAGCUAAUUAUUAAAUUGACAAUUUAAUUGACAGAGUGUCUUACCAGCAGUUUUGUAAAGUCGAGAAAGAACGCUACAGUGUGAGAACUAACCAAUCAGACGCCCAAUGACUCUUCUAGUACCCAGGGUGCAGUGCGAAGCAAGCAGGCAAGGUCUCUCCUCCUUUAGAGUACACGUGGGAAACACAGUAAAUGGGUGGAGUGCCACUCAGCCGUUACAGAAAAUGAGGUAUUCAUGGAGCUGGAGACAAGGUCCGUGCUUAAGUGCACUGGCUGCUGUUCCAGACGACUCGGGUUUGAUUCCCAGCACCCACAUGGCAGCUCAGAACAACCAUUGGUAACCCCAGUCCCCCGAGAUUCAAUCCCUCGGAGGGAACCGAGUAUGAAUGGGGUGCAUGGGCAUAUGACAAAACGCCUGUACACGUAAAAAAAAAAAAUUCAACAGCAAAAGCAAGUGUGGUACUGAUUGGUGUGUGCUACAAACAGAACAUGACCGAUGAAAGAAGCCAGUCACAGAGGGCCACAGGUCACCGUGCGAUUCCAUUUAGAUGAGGUGUUCAGACUGAAAAUCUACUGCUGCUCAGUCCGUGCUGCCCAUCCAUGGGGAGGUAAGCACUGUUGAUGUGCCCAGAGGAGAGCGCUGCUCAGACAGCACAGCAGAGCGGGAACUGACCAUCUGAACAGGCAUUCCCUCUGGCCCCUCUUCAGUUUACCUCAUCCUCACAGCCCAUCCCAGCAGCCAGCUCUGCCCGUGGAGGAGGCGAGGUCAGAAGAGACAAUUGCGCUUCUCACCUGGCUGUCACAUUAAGUGUGCUCUGCUGCAUGCUUGAGAAUGACCUUUGCCCUGAAAGAAGCCAGCAGCUUCAGUGAGCUGGGCACCAUCUCCCUCUGUCUACGCAUGGAUGCAUUUGUAAGCUAAUGUGCCCUCCUCAUAGGGAAAGCUUCCCACUCCUUCUAAUCAGUUGUGAAGGCCUGAUGGUCGAUUCUGAUCCUGGCUCUGGCACAGAUGGGUCCUCCGACGACCUCCAAUGAGAUAUUCUUGACUUCGUACGGUGUGACCAGUGUCUCUCCAUUCGGCUGUUCUCCCCUGUGGCCUUUGUAACAAAUAAGCAGAUCCUGCUCUCAAAUUUAUGGCCUUCCUGCUUCAGCCUGCCAACGGCUGGCAUUGACUACCGCACCCCACUGGAACUCCAAGUUUUGAAGCUGGACUUCAGUGUGAGCAUCCUGAGACCCUAGUGUCUGAAGUGACUGGAUGGACGUCUGGGUUCGAUGCUGUCUCCUAGUAACAGUUCUCAACAUCGAAUUGACUUGUAGGGUCUCCCAGUUACCAUGCAAAGAAUGAGAAAGGGGAAAACUCAUGUAUUUCCCGCCAGAGGUAUUAUCUGUAAACACAGUUCAAUGACAUCAUCUAAUCUAAGAGUUUGAUAUCAGUUGAUUAUAAUCACUGCUAUUUGGGACUUAUUUUGGACAGUUUAUUUCAUGUUUCACUGUUCAUUUAUUUAUUUUUACUUUUGGACAAGGCGUCUCCUUGUAGUCCUGAUUAUUCGGGAGCUGCCUGUGUAGACCAUGGUGGCCUCAGACUCACUGAGGGCUUCCUGCCUCUGCCUCCCAAGUGCUGGGGUUAAAGCGUGCACCGCCAUGCCUGGGUCUACUAUUCUUUUUAAUUUUUAGCCAUUCUAACAGGUCUUUGUAUUUUCCUCACGGUUAGAUUUCAGACGUUAUUAUAUCCAUUUACUUAUGCCUGCACACAUCAUUUGUCGAAAUGUCAACCCACACCCUUUGUCUGUGUUAUUUAUAACUGAGUUGUUUAUUCACAAACUACAAGUGUCGUGUGCCCUAGACCUUUCUCGGGGAUGAAGUGGAAAUUUCUGCUUUC